GCACCAUGCCUUCUUACAUAAUGCCCCACCACUCCAGGCAGAGCCAUCAGACUCCUCUCUAAGGCUAGCCCUGGGCUCCGAGCACGCUGCCUGCCGCCCAGCUCCACAGAGUCCAACACUGCACACUCUACUCUGAGCGGUGUGAUCGCGAAGCACAGCACCAUAGCAUGCAGUACUUACAUAAGCACCAUGCCUUCUUACAUAAUGCCCCACCACUCCAGGCAAUGCCAUCACACUGCUCUCCGCGGCUAGCCCGGCUCCGAGCACCCUGACUGCAGCCCUACUCCAGGACAGCUCGACAUUGCCCUGGGGAGCCCACGUGGAAGCCCUGCCGCCUGCCCCGGGCGCGGCCGCGAAGCCGCGGCAUCUCCCGAGCCCGGUCCGGCGCUCUGAGCCCUACUCGCUCGCACCACACUGCUCCAGGAGCCCACUCUGCUCGGAGCUCGGCAGCGGAGGACGACUCCCGGCAGUCCACUAUCACAUCUUACCACACCAGGGCUGAGUCGUGUUAUCGCCGCCCUCCCAGAGUCCGGCCCCGCGCCCCCCAGGACCGGAGGCUUCCCCAGGGCGCCAGGGAGCGGUCGGCGAGGGGGAGGCUCCCCCAGGGCGGCUCGGGGCGCCCCCGGCCCCACGCGUGCUGGCACGCCGCCGAGCCUCGUCCAGGCCGCUGGGAAGGCAUGGACCUGCCAGCCUCGACCGCUGCGGCUACGACAGCAGCAACCCGGCGGCCGAGGGUCCCUGCUACCCGCUUCCCCAGGGCCCGGCCCUCCGAAGGCGGCCCCCCACGGCGCGAAGCGGUCCUGGCCGGCGCCCCCCGCCUCCCUAGGGGUCCGGAGGGAGCCCUCCCCCUCGCCCGCCCUUUGUCACCUUCACCCGGGAGGGAAGGAGGCGAUGGCAUUCACCACGCCGCCUCCCCCCAGUCGAUGCCCGGCCCUUCCUUCAUCUGCUGGCUGGCACCUGUCGCCCCCUCCUCCACCCCGCCCCUCCCCCAGCCUGGGCGCCCCCCCCCCCUUUCCUCUCCUCUAGCGCCUCAGGCCCCGCCAGAGCAGGAGGGGGUAGCAAUAGCUGAUCCGGGCCACCGCCCCCUCCCCCUCCCCAGGGCCAACGGCUCCCACGGCGCCUCCCCGGGGGGGAGGGGCGGAGAUCCAGGCUUGGGAUAGGAGCGCAGCUGCAGCUACGCACCUGUUAGAUCCUGUGAAUCACCCGGAGCGGACUGUCCAGGCUCUCCCACUCCCUGCUCAACUCACACUUCAACUCCUUGCUCAGGAUGUGGAUAAGAAGACAUUUUUUGGCUGCGUUUUCUAACGGGUCUAAGUGAACACACGCCAACAACUCUAGGCGAGAAGGUUUUUUCCACUUUCUGGAGCCCAACCAUGAGCUUUGGCAAAAGGACACCGAUAGGACAACAAUAAUUGACUUCCAGAAUUAGGUCAGGCUCAAGGGAUGCCUGAAUACAGACAACAGCCUAAAAGGAAGAAGUUGGCACGUCUAAAAUAGACCAGAAAGGAUAGAGAAAGAAAAUACAAGAGCGACUUAUGCACACCAGAAAAACUGGACAAGAUGAAAGAUGUGCCUCUCUCGAGUCGUAUAAACAGAAGGGAUGCCAAAAAUCAUACCUACACAAUAAAAAAGUGUAGACCAACUCA
rnacentral:lncRNA from 1 species